rnacentral:rRNA from 1 species
ACUACGGGGGGCAGCAGUGGGGAAUAUUGCACAAUGGGGGAAACCCUGAUGCAGCGACGCCGCGUGAGUGAAGAAGUAUUUCGGUAUGUAAAGCCCUAUCAGCAGGGAAGAAGAUGACGGUACCUGACCAAGAAGCCCCGGCUAACUACGUGCCAGCAGCCGCGGGAAUACGUAGGGGGCAAGCGUUAUCCGGAUUUACUGGGUGUAAAGGGAGCGUAGACGGCAGGACAAGUCUGGAGUGAAAUGCCGGGGCUCAACCCCGGGACUGCUUUGGAAACUGUGCGGCUGGAGUGCAGGAGGGGUAAGUGGAAUUCCUAGUGUAGCGGUGAAAUGCGUCGAUAUUAGGAGGAACACCAGUGGCGAAGGCGGCUUACUGGACUGUAACUGACGUUGCGGCUC